CGAGAGAGGCUCGAAGCAAUGAAGACUGCUAAUCUUCACCCCCUUGGUUAAACUCCUAGGCUCACUCGA
rnacentral:tRNA from 1 species